GACGAACCGUGCAAACGUUGUUCGGAAUCACUGGGCUUAAAGGGCGCGUAGGCGGGGCUGCAAGUCAGGGGUGAAAGCCCACGGCUCAACCGUGGAAGUGCCUUUGAUACUGCGGGUCUCGAGGGAGGUAGGGGCGUGCGGAACUUCCGGUGGAGCGGUGAAAUGCGUAGAUAUCGGAAGGAACACCGGUGGCGAAAGCGGCGCGCUGGACCUCUUCUGACGCUGAGGCGCGAAAGCUAGGGGAGCAAACGGG
rnacentral:rRNA from 1 species